rnacentral:rRNA from 1 species
UGGGGAAUAUUGCACAAUGGGCGGAAGCCUGAUGCAGCGACGCCGCGUGGGGGAUGACGGCCUUCGGGUUGUAAACUCCUUUCACCAUCGACGAAGGGUUUCUGACGGUAGAUGGAGAAGAAGCACCGGCUAACUACGUGCCAGCAGCCGCGGUAAUACGUAGGGUGCGAGCGUUGUCCGGAAUUACUGGGCGUAAAGAGCUCGUAGGUGGUUUGUCGCGUCGUCUGUGAAAUUCCGGGGCUUAACUCCGGGCGUGCAGGCGAUACGGGCAUAACUUGAGUACUGUAGGGGAGACUGGAAUUCCUGGUGUAGCGGUGAAAUGCGCAGAUAUCAGGAGGAACACCGGUGGCGAAGGCGGGUCUCUGGGCAGUAACUGACGCUGAGGAGCGAAAGCAUGGGGAGCGAACAGGAUUAGAUACCCUGGUAGUCCAUGCCGUAAACGGUGGGCGCUAGGUGUGGGUUUCCUUCCACGGGAUCCGUGCCGUAGCUAACGCAUUAAGCGCCCCGCCUGGGGAGUACGGCCGCAAGGCUA